rnacentral:misc_RNA from 1 species
UCCGGUUUGACACCGGCAGUCUCGCUAGAGUCCUCGCCAUCACGCGUUAGCAACUAGCGACAAGGGUUGCGCUCGUUAAGGGACUUAACCCGACACUUCACAGCACGAGCUGACGACAGCCAUGCAGCACCUGUGCACGUUCCACCCUUGCGGGCGUGGCUCCUGUUUCCAGGAGUUAAUCCGUGCAUGUCAAACCCGGGUAAGGUUCUUCGCGUUGCUUCGAAUUAAGCAACAUGCUCCACCGCUUGUGUGAGCCCCCGUCAAUUCCUUUGAGUUUUAGCCUUGCGACCGUACUCCCCAGGCGGUGCAUUUAACGAUUUCUCUACGACCAGGACGGAGUCAGAUCCGCCCCGAUCCAAUGCACAUCGUUUAGGGCGUGGACUAC